AUAUCAAUAAGCGGAGGAAAAGAAACCAACAGGGAUUGCCUCAGUAACGGCGAGCGAAGCGGCAAAAGCUCAAAUUUGAAAGCUAGCGUCUUUUAGGCGUUCGCGUUGUAAUUUGAAGAUGGCAACUUUGGAAACGGCCCUUGCAUAUGUUCCUUGGAACAGGACAUCAUAGAGGGUGAGAAUCCCGUACAUGGUGGGGAGACCGUUUCUAUGUAAAGUGCUUUCUAAGAGUCGAGUUGUUUGGGAAUGCAGCUCUAAGUGGGUGGUAAACUCCAUCUAAGGCUAAAUAUAGGCGAGAGACCGAUAGCGAACAAGUACAGUGAUGGAAAGAUGAAAAGAACUUUGAAAAGAGAGUGAAAAAGUACGUGAAAUUGUUGAAAGGGAAGGGCUUGAGAUCAGACUUGGCUUGUAGUGAUCAACUGUCUUUCGGGACUGUGCACUCGCUGCUUGCUAGGCCAACAUCAGUUUUGGCGGUGGGAUAAUGGUAGUGGAAUGUGACUUUGCUUCGGGAAAGUGUUAUAGCCACAUACUGAUGCCACCAGCUGAGACUGAGGACCGCGCCUUGUGCUAGGAUGUUGGCGUAAU
rnacentral:rRNA from 1 species